UACGUAGGGGGCUAGCGUUGUCCGGAUUUAUUGGGCGUAAAGAGCGUGUAGGCGGCCAGGUAGGUCUGCUGUGAAACUCGAGGCUCAACCUCGAGACGUCGGCGGAAACCAUCUGGCUAGAGUCCGGAAGAGGAGAGUGGAAUUCCUGGUGUGAGCGGUGGAAAUGCGCAGAUAUCAGGAAGAACACCCGUGGCGAAGGCGGCCCUCUGGAACGCAACUGACGCUGAGACGCGAAAGCGUGGGGAGCAAACAGG
rnacentral:rRNA from 1 species